rnacentral:rRNA from 1 species
CAGCCGCCGCGGUAAUACGUAGGUGGCAAGCGUUGUCCGGAAUUAUUGGGCGUAAAGGGCUCGCAGGCGGUUUCUUAAGUCUGAUGUGAAAGCCCCCGGCUCAACCGGGGAGGGUCAUUGGAAACUGGGAAACUUGAGUGCAGAAGAGGAGAGUGGAAUUCCACGUGUAGCGGUGAAAUGCAUAGAGAUGUGGAGGAACACCAGUGGCGAAGGCGACUCACUGGUCUGUAACUGACGCUGAGGAGCGAAAGCGUGGGGAGCGAACAGGAUUAGAUACCCCAGUAGUCCCUGUCUCUUAUAC